GCAAAUUGGAAACAAAUCACACAGCUGGGACUUGUUCAUUUGUCAACGUCAUUUACAAAAAGGAACAAGAAACAAAAGUGAAGCCUAAUCCUGUUGAACUAUAUGAGGUUACCCAUACAAGAAAAAAGGAUAAACAGUUUGUGAACGACAAAUGCAAAAGUCUAUAUCUUCAAAUGCAAGAAUUAACAACCAGUGAGGCCUUAGAGGAAGGCAAUGUGGAGGGAACAAGUGUGGAUGACCGAAUGCAAGAAAUAGUCACACAAGUACUAGGGGGCCGACGAGCUGGGCACGUUAGAGGAAUGGGAUGCGGUCUUAUUCCUACCCCUUUAAGAACUUCAUCUCAAGCGUUCACCCACUUCGACAACCACGAUGAGUGUAGGAAAAGACAAGAAGAUACUCAAAGCGAGCUUCAACAGACUAGAAUUGAACUU